rnacentral:rRNA from 1 species
GUGAGGAAUUUUCCGCAAUGGGCGAAAGCCUGACGGAGCAAUGCCGCGUGAAGGAUGAAGGCCUAUGGGUUAUAAACUUCUUUUCUCAGAAAAGAAUUAUGACGGUAUCUGAGGAAUAAGCAUCGGCUAACUCUGUGCCAGCAGCCGCGGUAAGACAGAGGAUGCAAGCGUUAUCCGGAAUGAUUGGGCGUAAAGCGUCUGUAGGUUGUUUAAAAAGUAUUCUGUCAAAGAUUAGGGCUUAACCCUAGAUAGGCAGAAUAAACUUUUAAGCUAGAGUUUGGUAGAGGCAGAGGGAAUUCCCGGUGGAGCGGUGAAAUGCGUAGAUAUCGGGAGGAACACCAAAGGCGAAGGCACUCUGCUGGGCCAAUACUAACACUGAGAGACGAAAGCGAGGGGAGCAAAUGGGAUUAGAUACCCGGGUAGUCC